UAGAGGACUCUCCUUAAUCUCUACACUCACUAUUACUCCAGCUAUGGCUCUAUACACACCUAAUAGGCU
rnacentral:tRNA from 1 species